AGGCUCCAUGAGCAGAUGAAGUAGACAGCUUUACUCAGUAUCUCAGACCAAGAACUUCAUCUCCAUCUCCAACUAGCUGAAACAUCUUCCCUCCUCAACCUGGAAAAUUCUCUGACUUAGAAAUUUAAACAAAACCCUCCCCUUUCAUUGAAUCUCCAUUGUCUGGAGUUUGCUUGUUUUAAUCUAGCCUGUUCCUCCACUAUGGGCUCCCUUUCAAACUAUGCCCUGCUUCAACUAACCCUUACUGCUUUUUUGACAAUUCUAGUACAACCUCAGCACCUGCUUGCUCCAGUUUUCCGGACACUAUCUAUCUUGACUAAUCAGUCUAAUUGCUGGUUAUGUGAACAUCUAGAUAAUGCAGAACAACCCGAACUAGUUUUUGUUCCUGCCAGUGCAAGCACCUGGUGGACCUAUUCUGGACAAUGGAUGUAUGAAAGGGUGUGGUAUCCACAAGCAGAAGUACAGAAUCACUCUACUUCCUCCUAUCGUAAAGUGACUUGGCACUGGGAAGCCUCCAUGGAAGCUCAAGGUCUAUCCUUUGCUCAAGUAAGGUUAUUGGAGGGAAAUUUUUCUCUUUGCGUAGAAAAUAAAAAUGGCAGUGGACCCUUCCUAGGUAAUAUACCUAAACAAUACUGUAAUCAAAUACUAUGGUUUGAUUCUACAGAUGGCACCUUCAUGCCCUCUAUAGAUGUUACAAAUGAAUCCAGGAACGAUGAUGAUGAUACAAGUGUUUGCCUAGGCACUAGACAAUGUUCCUGGUUUGCAGGUUGCACAAACCGGACCUGGAACAGCUCAGCUGUUCCCUUGAUUGGUCUGCCCAAUACCCAAGACUACAAAUGGGUAGAUCGAAAUUCUGGAUUGACCUGGUCAGGUAAUGACACCUGUCUCUAUAGCUGCCAAAACCAAACCAAAGGCCUUCUGUACCAGCUAUUUCGCAACCUAUUUUGCUCUUAUGGCCUGACAGAGGCACAUGGGAAAUGGAGAUGUGCAGAUGCCAGCAUAACUAAUGACAAAGGUCAUGAUGGACACCGGACCCCCACCUGGUGGCUCACAGGUUCCAAUCUGACCUUGUCUGUGAACAACUCUGGCCUCUUUUUUUUGUGCGGCAAUGGGGUGUACAAAGGGUUUCCACCUAAAUGGUCUGGGCGAUGUGGACUUGGGUAUCUUGUACCUUCCCUCACCAGAUACCUCACCUUAAAUGCUAGCCAAAUUACAAACCUGAGAUCCUUCAUUCAUAAAGUAACACCGCAUAGAUGCACCCAAGGAGACACAGACAAUCCACCUCUGUAUUGCAACCCCAAGGACAAUUCAACAAUAAGGGCCCUUUUUCCAAGUUUGGGAACUUAUGAUUUAGAAAAGGCAAUUCUAAACAUUUCCAAAGCAAUGGAACAGGAAUUCAGUGCCACUAAGCAGACCUUGGAAGCACACCAAUCAAAAGUUAGCAGUUUAGCCUCUGCAUCCCGAAAGGAUCAUGUCUUGGAUAUACCGACCACCCAACGACAAACGGCUUGUGGAACUGUUGGCAAACAGUGUUGCCUCUAUAUAAAUUAUUCGGAAGAAAUAAAGUCUAAUAUACAGCGUCUCCACGAAGCAUCCGAGAACCUGAAGAAUGUACCGUUACUUGAUUGGCAAGGCAUAUUUGCAAAAGUGGGAGACUGGUUCAGAUCAUGGGGCUAUGUGCUUUUAAUUGUUCUUUUCUGCUUAUUCAUCUUUGUUUUAAUCUAUGUUCGUGUCUUUCGCAAAUCUCGCAGAUCCCUUAACUCCCAACCUCUGAACCUAGCCUUAUCUCCACAGCAAUCAGCACAGCUCCUUGUCAGUGAAACUUCAUGUCAAGUUUCAAAUAGGGCAAUGAAGGGACUAACAACCCAUCAAUAUGACACAAGUCUACUUUGAGAAUAUCUGAACAAACAGCAGCUGCAGACAAAAAGCCUUAGCUAAACUUUGAUGAGUAAAGCAGGUCUUACCGAGAAUUCAGCUGCCAAAACCCUCCUCUGAGUGUUCCUCUUAUAAGGGCACUUAGCACUAGGACCUCCCAAGGUAUUGUAAAUAAGCCUUAUCAGAACUUUUUGUAGUUUCAUUCUGAAGCCUUAAGACACACACCAUAAAGCUGAUCUGUAAACCCUUACCCCUUGCUGUUC
rnacentral:lncRNA from 1 species